ACGCUCGACACCUACGGGAGGCAGCAGUGGGGAAUAUUGCACAAUGGGGGAAACCCUGAUGCAGCGACGCCGCGUGGAGGAAGAAGGUCUUCGGAUUGUAAACUCCUGUUGUUGGGGAAAAAGAGGAUGGUACCCAACAAGGAAGUGACGGCUAACUACGUACCAGCAGCCGGCGGUAAUCUGAGCGGGCUGGCAAGGC
rnacentral:rRNA from 1 species